rnacentral:rRNA from 1 species
CCCUAGUAACUGCGAGUGAAGCGGGAAAAGCUCAAAUUUAAAAUCUGGCGGUCUUAGGCUGUCCGAGUUGUAAUCUAGAGAAGUGUUAUCCGCGCUGGACCGUGUACAAGUCUCCUGGAAUGGAGCGUCAUAGAGGGUGAGAAUCCCGUCUUUGACACGGACUGCCAGGGCUUUGUGAUGCGCUCUCAAAGAGUCGAGUUGUUUGGGAAUGCAGCUCAAAAUGGGUGGUAAAUUCCAUCUAAAGCUAAAUAUUGGCGAGAGACCGAUAGCGAACAAGUACCGUGAGGGAAAGAUGAAAAGAACUUUGGAAAGAGAGUUAAACAGUACGUGAAAUUGCUGAAAGGGAAACGCUUGAAGUCAGUCGCGUUGGCCGGGGAUCAACCUUGCUUUUGCUGGGCGUACUUCCCGGUUGAUGGGUCAGCAUCAAUUUUGACCGUUGGAUAAAGGUUAGGGGAAUGUGGCAUCUUCGGAUGUGUUAUAGCCCUUGGUCGCAUACAACGGUUGGGAUCGAGGAACUCAGCACGCCGCAAGGCCGAGUAUUUAUACUACGUUCGUGCUUAGGAUGCUGGCAUAAUGGCUUUAAUCGACCCGUCUUGAAACACGGACCAAGGAGUCUAACAUGCCUGCGAGUGUUUGGGUGGAAAACCCGAGCGCGUAAUGAAAGUGAAAGUUGAGAUCCCUGUCGUGGGGAGCAUCGACGCCCGGACCAGACCUUUUGUGACGGCUCCGCGGUAGAGCAUGUAUGUUGGGACCCGAAAGAUGGUGAACUAUGCCUGAAUAGGGUGAAGCCAGAGGAAACUCUGGUGGAGGCUCGUAGCGAUUCUGACGUGCAAAUCGAUCGUCAAAUUUGGGUAUAGGGGCGAAAGACUAAUCGAACCAUCUAGUAGCUGG